rnacentral:misc_RNA from 1 species
AAAGUCGUAACAAGGUCUCCGUAGGUGAACCUGCGGAGGGAUCAUUAACACGUUAUUUCAACGUUUAUAACUAUACCAAUCAACCGCGUGAAACAACUGAAUCAACCAACCCCUUUCACCACACUAUAACUACAGACUGAUAUUGUUAUCUAAGCUAUGGUCUGGUGCGCGCUUUAAACCGCGUAUUGGAUUGUAGCGUAGCGUAACAAACUUAAUCAAAUAUCUAAGCACAACUCUUAGCAACGGAUAUCUUGGUUCUC